UACGUAGGGCGCAAGCGUUAUCCGGAAUUAUUGGGCGUAAAGAGCUCGUAGGCGGUUUGGCGCGUCUGGCGGGAAAGUCCGGGGCUCAACUCCGGAGCUGCGGUGGGUACGGGCAGACUAGAGUGAUGUAGGGGAGACUGGAAUUCCUGGUGUAGCGGUGAAAUGCGCAGAUAUCAGGAGGAACACCGAUGGCGAAGGCAGGUCUCUGGGCAUUAACUGACGCUGAGGAGCGAAAGCAUGGGGAGCGAUCCGG
rnacentral:rRNA from 1 species